UCCAAGGGGUGCCUUGUGCCAAAAACAGCUGGAAACAAUUGCUUUAGAGACAAUCCAACUCAACCAGGCCUGUCCUCUGGUUCAGAAGAGUCUGCGUGUUGGCAUUGACCAGCAACACAGUGCAAGUAAUUCUAGCCCUUGCUUAAAAGGCCACUUCCCACCACCUCCAUUCUUUCAAAACGGCUAACUGAGAUGGAAGCAGGGACCAGCCACAGUGCAUGACAGCACUGAGGAACCAAGAAUUUUGUAUUUCUGAUUUGUCAGCUGGCAUUUUUGCCUCUCUCAGGCCAGCCACAGCUACUCAGGAGCUGAAAGAAAGCUCCCAGGGAAUCAAGAUCUCACACACCAGGUAUAAAAUCAGGGAGACCUACCAUCGUCAUCUCAAGAGACUGGAAAAGUAUCACCAAUGAUGCCGCUGGAAAAUCUUCCGCAUCUAAUGGAGAGAUUGCUCCACAAACACCAGCAUCCUUGCUGAAGCAAGCGUCACCAGCAUUGAGUUGGUGAUCCUCAAGCACUGACUUCACUGGAUCAGACAUGCACAUGCCUAAGUCCCGACUUCCAAAACAAGUGCUCUGCUCCCAACAGCCUGAGAUCUUGCAGUAGCCAGAGGAAAUGCUACAAAGACACAUUAAAAGCAUACUUAAAGAAAAUGGAUGCCAACAUCAAGAGCUGAGCUGGAAGUAGGACAGGAUGAGUCCUGACAAACUGGCUGCUGACCAAUUUCAAUGAUGCUGUAACCUCAACCAAGCAGCAGCCCAUUUCAAGGUGAAGUGUUUUGCCCUUGAUGAAGAAGAGAAAGAAUGGAGGGGGGAAAGGAGAGAAAUCCUAGCCUACAGCCUACUCUCCCCUGCAGAAAAACCUACAACUUCUGUGGCCAGGUCUGUGGCUCAAGGAUGGGACUCUUAAGUCACUUCAAGGCUUAUCAGUUAUCAGUGACUUGCAGUAGAGAUCAUCCUUGAAUUGAGGGAUUGCCAAUGACAGCAUUGUAGGGCAUCCUUGAAAGGAUCUCAAAGCACCUCAGGGUGCCACAGCACCCCGGUCAAGAACCAUGGUACUAAGCUAUACUGGGUCAAGGCAGUACCAUUAACCUGCAUUAUUCUAGAUUCUAAGGAUCCUGGUUACUCCCUCAGUGCCAUGUUAGCAUGGCACUGGGAGAGUUAUUGUGAGGUGCUUCCAGUCUAACGGCUUUGUUUGUGUGAAAAAAACAGCACUAUUUUUUAAUCUUCUGGUGUUUAAAUCAGUUGCCAACUCUCAUGGCAUGACUGCAAGUCUCACAAUGGAGGUUUGUUCCUUAAAAGUUCAGACCCCAAAGGUAGGGGGUUGACUUGGGCCUUUCUCAUU